UACGUACCUGAACAAGAUCGAACGGCUCGUGCUGGACUCGGGCACGCGAGAGCUGGUCGUGAGCGAUACCUCGCAGACGCCCGUCCUCAAACCGUACGGGCUGGCGCUCUACGAAGGUAUGGUGGUGUGGAGCGAGCACGGCACGGGUGCCAUCCGGCAGCUGACGGCGGACGGUAAAGUGCGGCAGAUGCGCAAACUGCCUCCACCACUCUACGACCUCAAGCUGGUCUCAGCCGCCGCCAGGACAGGACGCAACUCAUGCUCAAAGGACAACGGCGGGUGCGCCGAGCUGUGCCUGGCCCGCAGCAGCGUCGGCGGGGGGUCGGGCCGCGUGUGCG